UACGGGGGGGGCAAGCGUUGUUCGGAAUUAUUGGGCGUAAAGAGCUCGUAGGCGGUGUGUCGCGUCGGCCGUGAAAACCUGCAGCUUAACUGUGGGCUUGCGGUCGAUACGGGCAUCACUGGAGUUCGGCAGGGGAGACUGGAAUUCCUGGUGUAGCGGUGAAAUGCGUAGAUAUCAGGAGGAACACCUGCGGUGUAGACGGCUUACUGGACCAUAACUGACGCUGAGGCACGAAAGCGUGGGUAGCAAACAGG
rnacentral:rRNA from 1 species